rnacentral:sRNA from 2 species
CCCCUUGUCAUCUGGGGAGUAGCCAGCCGUUCGCAGAAGCGAGCGGGCCGUAUGUCAACAUAUUUGGCCGAGAGGCCGUGGCAUGCGGGAUGCGGGGUGGACGGGCGAAGGCUCGGGCCGGCCGUAUC